AACACAUCAUGAUGUACCUCAGGAUAUGCAGUAUUUUUAAAAUGGAAAAUAACUGAUCUGAAUUUGGUUAUUUGGCAAAAACAGACCUACUGCCUGAUGUGUAGUUGACAAAUCAAGAGAGAUCACACAGUUAAAGCACACAGUAGAAAGCUGCACAAGAGGAGGAGCGUGCAUAGAGGAGGAGCGUGCAUAGAAAGCUACAAGAGGAGGAGCAUACAUAGUCAUACAUUUGACUGUAAAUGAGCACCACUUAAACACUCGGCCUGUUCCUCCAACAUGCAGAACUCCACUACAGAUCCAGGGUCUGCAGUCACGUGUGUUUGUCCAUCAGUGUUCUUCUAUCUCUCUGCUGUCUGGAAGAUGAUGACUUCUGUUUUCUCCUCUGAGGAAAUGGAUCGUCAGUCUCUGGAUGUUCCUCUCUCUGUAGAGGAGACCCGACCAGAACCGGCCCAGAGUUCAGUGCAGCCAUGCAGUGAUGGAGAAAGUUACUUUUAAAAAUGUUAAGGCCAGAAGUGAAAUGAAUAAUCCUCAGGCUGAAGGAAAUAUAAUUUCACAGCUGUACAGUAGAGGGCGCUGCUCAAACAAACCUUUCAUCUGCUGCUGAAGAAAGAUCUAAACUCUUAUUUUAGCAAUAAAAAUAAUAAUAAUAAAAAAAGAAACACAAAUAUGA